AUGAACGCGAGUCACUCGCUACAGUCUUCAACAUGGCCGAUCAAGAGGAGUAAAGACAGUUACUACAGACCAGCUACAAAAGCUUACAUCAUUUUGGACUGGAUGGGAAGUCCCAUCCAAGAAUCUCCAGGUAAAUGUUUGGAAUGGAAGAUACUUCAAGGCUUCUACCUGCAGCAGGACCCUGAUGAUACCAGCUGAAAUAACCACAAUGGAUAACUUUGCAUCUUCAUUGCAAGCUUGUGCUAACACAUCCUCCACUGGAUUUGGACUCAUUUAAUUCUGGACACUGGUUCUAUGUAAAAAAAAAUUCUAUGUACAAGUAAUAAUAAUAAAAAAAGUACUUCAAUAACA